CUUACUCUACAAAUUACCUUAACUAUAAGCCAUGGAUUUUUGGUUCCUUUUAAGGGGUCUGUGAAGGUGCAAGUGAAUCCCUAUUCCCUUACCUGACCAGUCUAUUACCUGAGUUUUUAAGGGAGCCAAACAAGCAAGUAUCAGUGAAUUCAGGUCAAUAUAAGAGGGCUCACUUCUCUGCAGGGAGGGUUGAAAUUUGCAAAUUCUAGAGCAAUUCAACCUCAACAAAUAUCCUGCCUUGAAGUUGUGCAGCUGGCCAUGCCUCUGAGAGGCACCAUGAUGGAAUAGAAGAGACUGGUUUGUAUGAGGAAGACAAAUGCUGGGCUUGAAGAAAUCAAGAAGAGAUUGAUCUUCUAGCAAUGGAGCAAGCUGAUCAGCAGGAGAGAGGUCCCUUAGAGCCAAAAGAACUUCACUUUGCCUUCUGUCCUGCAGUGCCCAGGGAAAACUGACAAUCCUGCAUCUUCAGCAGAAAUGCAGAAGCAGAAAAAUCAGAAAAUUUCAGCAGAAAUCUCCCUGCAGAUGAAAUAAUGCAAAGCCACAGUUCUGCCACAGCAGCUCGUAGAGUGGCCUGGAAGGGCACUGUUUCAGGAAAAGGAGAGGUGCCUUCCAGAUUCAGCUGUGAGCCUGUUUGGCUUGGCUUGGCUUGGCUUUGCUCUCUCCCUCCCACUCCCUCACUGUCUGUGCAGGCUGUGAGAACUGUCACUGCACCAGCUGGAGCAGAUUUAAAUUUCACAUGGGAAGUAAAAUGUUGGUUAUGACAACGUGAACGAUUUUCCCAUUGUGCUGCAGCGAAGCAAUCACCAUUCCCUCUCUCACGUGGCUCCAGCUCACAAACAAAGCCCAGCACUGUUGUUGUAACCAAGCCUGGUUUUGGAAGCUGAAGCCAUUUGUUUCCUACCUGGCUGCUAUCUUUUCCCACACUGCUUUCUCUGGGUUAUUUGAAGUUUCUCCUCGAGCUUUUUACCAUUCCUGUGAGGUGGCUCUGGCCGUGAUGGGUUGCCCUUUUCAGCAGGGAGAUGUCAUCCUCUGAGCUACAACAACAGCAGUCUGACUGAUGGUUGUUCCUUAGCUGCUGCAGAGACUGAUGGAUGCACCUGGUUUGUUGUGGCCAUCCAAUUCCAGUGAUGUGCAAGGUCUGGGCAGAUGUUGGCUGUGAAAACAACUUACCUGUAUUUGAUUGACUCUUCUCUUUAUUCAUCAAAGCCUUCUAGAAAAGUUCUGCACAAGCUUUUAAGUGCUGAAAUCUGUUCGAGGCAUUCUGAAUUUCCUAAGCAGACAUAUGUCAUUGAUUUAAAGUUAACAGAUCUGUUGUCUGCAGCAUCUUCUCAAACUACCUCUAUCAUAAGGAGCAAUCAUGUGUUUGUGAAAUUCAGUUGCCAAAUAAAAGAUUAAAGCUUCAGGCUUGAUUGUGGCUGUUAGCAGCCUUUCAAAGACAGUAAGUCAUUGGUCUAAGGUAAAUUACCUUUUCAUACUGUUGGACAUAGAAUUUCUCUGAAUGCCCAUCUGAAAUAGCUCUUAUCUACAGAGUCACUUAUUGAUUGCACCUGUGAUUAUUGGUGUAAUUGAGAAGGUCUAUUUUUCGCACAUUAGACCAAAAAUGAAACAUUUAUUUUGACACAUUGGGCUACAGCCAUCUGUGCCCCAGCAUCAAAACAUUUUUUUAAUGUUCUAUUUCAGCUGUUCCAGUUGGCCUCAAAAGAGCUUAAAAUCUGGCAAAAAUAGCACCAAUGUUUAACUGUGCACAGAAGGUAUUAUUUAUAUGUCAGUAGCACAUUGUUCGCUUUCUAGGUCUUUAACAGCUGUAUAUAAUGACACAAUCCUUUACACAUGUUAGUUUUUAUAGAAUGUGUCACAUGGCUCUUCAGUACAAAGCUGGGGGGGCAGAAAAUAAUUUUAUAUUUUUCCCUUGUAUACAAGACAAUACACAGGCACUGCGUGGAUUUUCAUCAUAAGCCAGAUACUAUAUUAUUUCAUCAAAAGUAAUAAUGCACUUUCCUGGCAUUUGUAGAAAAAUUGAUUUCUGUUAACCUAGGUCUUUUCUUCAGAUACUGGGUAACCAAUUCUGUUUAAAUCCCUUUGUAUAGACAGAUAGGGUAUGUAAUAUCCCCAUGGGCAAGAGCAAGGACUUGGCUCUCAGAUGACCUAAUUUUGAGAGAGACAAUAAGAUUACUGAACUGAGGUGCAGCUGAUAUGAGAGCCCAAGGCCACCCCUAAGCUUCAUUGCAGUUUAUGUGAUGGAAGGUCAGCUCACUUUAGUGUUUGUAAAUUGUAAAACAAACAAAAAUAUCAGCAGUGCAAAAGGCCUCACAGAAACCUCUGUUUUAAUCAGAGGCCAGUUCUUUAUUUCAAAGGUCUUUAUAAUAAUUCUAUUGUAAUUUUUAAUUUAGUAUAAAAGAGUACUGGACAUAAUAUGUUUUUCUAAACUCUAAAAUUAAUUGUAACAGUCAGCAAAUAAAAACCCAACAAUCAUUUUGGCUGAAUAUUAGAAGAAUAUGAGAUAAGUCAUCUGAGAAGUAAUAACAAAAUUAAUGUGACAGUUAAAUUUUUUUGGUCUCAAAUACUGAUAGAAUCUUCCAAUUCAUAAACAAUAAAUUCCAGAUGCUGCCUGAUAUGACUUUUUUUCUGUAAAACUAAGGACACACAUCAAUCUGUAGACACAUUGCUUAUGAGUUACAGGGAAAAUAAAAUAUCUUCAGACUGAUUUUUAAAGGAAAGGCAUGAAUUGGUCUGCUAGACAAGCUGUGCCAGUUUAUCCACAUUUGUUGGUGCUGAAAUGAAAUCAUUACGGAAAUAAAUAUCAUUCAAUUCAAACUUCCCAUAUUCCAUUGGGACAGCAGCAUGAGAGGAAAAUGGAUGUUUCCAAUUUCCCCAGCUGCUGUGUCUGUCCGUAACUUACUGCCCUGCAAAAGCCAGCAAGUGUCCAGUGUCCCUCUCUUCACUGGCCAAUGCUCAAGAACUUCAUUUCAGUAAAAAAAAAAAAUCAGGGAAAAGGAUAAAAUUUAUUAAAGAGGUUUAAAAUAAAAGUAAACAUUCUGCAUUUUUUAAUGCAUGUGAAGUAGUCUAAAUGAGAAAUUAAUACUACAAAGUUGAAUUCAUAUGAUUCUAUGAGCAGUGAGCUGGGCAUCAAAAUAGCAGCACCAAGAACUGUUCAACUGCAAACUGAAAGCAAUAACUGGCUUAAAAAAUAGUAUUUUUCAGGAAGAUUGGGGUUAACAGAAGUGAGCUAAGAAGUCUAUUUUUGAGACUGUCUAGGAGUUCACUUUGGUUAUUCAUGGAUGAAUCAGCAUGCCGUCAUCUCCGUAGGUCUGGACGUAAGAAAGGUCUAAAACCCAAUCCCAUGCCAGUCACGACUGCAGUGCAAGCCCUUUAUCUGAGCAGCGUGAAAGCACAGCCACUCUGCAAUCAGAUGCAGGCUCAGAAGCAGUCAAGCAAGAGCAGCUCAGCUGAAACUCAGGGGAAAAAAAGAAAAUCCUGGCCCAAAAUAUUGUGAAAUAUAAACAACAAGACCAGUUUUGGUUGCAAAAGCAUAUGCUGAAUGACAUGUGAAAAACAUAAUAUCCUAUAAGACAGAGAAGUCUCUCUUUUCCCAAAGGUAAGGCCAUUCAUGGCAGUUUAAGACCUUUCUUCUUCUUGUGACUCUGCCAUACCUACAAAUGCCAUCUGCACUGGUGAAUUUUCACUGCCUCAGUGUCAUCGAGAGAAAGGUGCAUGGGCAUCUAGCUAUAUUUAUUUAGUCAGCAGCUUCAGUAUUUUCCUUUCUCAGUAAAACUCAUCUGCCAUAAAUGCAAGAGCUAAAGGCUCACUAGGGAUUGUAGAGCAAUGCAAAUUUUAUAGAAGAGAUCAGAUAUUAUCUAAAACUCACUUGUUAACAAUUCUUUAAAGCCCCAUAGGGCAGUUGGUGGACAUUAAAAAAGGUUUCCAAAGAAAUCUGGUGAUUUGCAAGCCCAUCCUGCAGUACUUUCCAGGGUAAAACCAUGUUUUAGCACUGCACCUCUAAUGGGGUUCCCUGCAAUGUUGCCCAACCUACAGUCUUUGGUGAGAUUAUUAUCUCAGGGGCAAAAUUUUCUGACAUGGGUAAAUGUAAGAUAUUGAGAUAACAUGUGGAGAAAAAGCUUGUAUUAUUUAAAAAUAAAAUACGUUUGUGCAAGAGACUAAAAUAUUGCUUCUGCCUAGAAAAUAUAGCUAUGUGUUACAAGGUGUGAAGGCACAGGCAGUGUUGAUGAAGACCAGGGGAAGACUAACUGCUACAGUGGGCUGUGCACAGCAAGUUGAACCAUCUGAUUUGCAGAAUGACCCCACUGGCUUCCUAC